GUAAAUAAAUCCACAAGUUGCAAGAAAGAAAAGACAGAUGACAGAGUUAUGGUGCCCAACUAUUGAUGCCUACAGACAAACUAGCAAUCUGAAUGUCACUCUUAUUAUCAGUGAGUAAGUGAGUAGGAGGAAGAAGAAGACGUGUAGGAGACCUUUCGGCGGUGUUGACAUUGGUUGAAGCGUCGUCGGUGCAAGCGAAUUGCAGAGCUGACACCACCACUCUCCUGCCCUCCAUUUUUCUCCCUAUUCUCUCGCUCCCCGUUUACGGUUUACCUAUGGAAAAUAUUUAUAUGUUAAUAAAAUUGUCCAGUCACAGUGGAAUAAUAAAAUAAAAACCAGUCACAGUGGAAUAAUAAAAUAAAUAAAGGGAAAAUGUUAUGUAAGAGUUUCAUUUUUCACUACUAC
rnacentral:lncRNA from 1 species